rnacentral:rRNA from 1 species
CGGGGUCAACUCGGAGGAAGGUGGGGAUGACGUCAAAUCAUCAUGCCCCUUAUGUCUUGGGCUUCACGCAUGCUACAAUGGCCGGUACAAAGGGCUGCGAAACCGCAAGGUGGAGCGAAUCCCAAAAAGCCGGUCUCAGUUCGGAUUGGGGUCUGCAACUCGACCCCAUGAAGUCGGAAUCGCUAGUAAUCGCGGAUCAGCAUGCCGCGGUGAAUACGUUCCCGGGCCUUGUACACACCGCCCGUCAAGUCACGAAAGUCGGUAACACCCGAAGCCAGUGGCCCAA